AGUGAACGCUGGCGGUAGGCCUAACACAUGCAAGUCGAACGGCAGCACAGUAAGAGCUUGCUCGUACGGGUGGCGAGUGGCGGACGGGUGAGGAAUACAUCGGAAUCUACUUUUUCGUGGGGGAUAACGGAGGGAAACUUACGCUAAUACCGCAUACGACCUACGGGUGAAAGCAGGGGAUCUUCGGACCUUGCGCGAUUGAAUGAGCCGAUGUCGGAUUAGCUAGUUGGCGGGGUAAAGGCCCACCAAGGCGACGAUCCGUAGCUGGUCUGAGAGGAUGAUCAGCCACACUGGAACUGAGACACGGUCCAGACUCCUACGGGAGGCAGCAGUGGGGAAUAUUGGACAAUGGACGCAAGCCUGAUCCAGCCAUACCGCGUGGGUGAAGAAGGCCUUCGGGUUGUAAAGCCCUUUUGUUGGGAAAGAAAAGCAGCAGGUUAAUACCCCGCUGUUCUGACGGUACCCAAAGAAUAAGCACCGGCUAACUUCGUG
rnacentral:rRNA from 1 species